AGUGAACGCUGGCGGCAGGCCUAAUACAUGCAAGUCGAACGGCAGCACAGCAGAGCUUGCUCUGUGGGUGGCGAGUGGCGGACGGGUGAGGAAUACGUGGGAAUCUGCCCAGUCGUGGGGAUAACGUAGGGAAACUUACGCUAAUACCGCAUGCGCCCUUCGGGGAAAGCCGGGGACCUUCGGGCCUGGCGCGAUUGGAUGAGCCCACGUCGGAUUAGCUAGUUGGCGGGGUAAAGGCCCACCAAGGCGACGAUCCGUAGCUGGUCUGAGAGGAUGAUCAGCCACACUGGAACUGAGACACGGUCCAGACUCCUACGGGAGGCAGCAGUAGGGAAUAUUGGACAAUGGGCGCAAGCCUGAUCCAGCCAUGCCGCGUGAGUGAAGAAGGCCCUCGGGUUGUAAAGCUCUUUUGUCCGGAAAGAAAAGCGCCGGGUUAAUACCCUGGUGUCCUGACGGUACCGGAAGAAUAAGCACCGGCUAACUUCGUGCCAGCAGCCGCGGU
rnacentral:rRNA from 1 species